UCUGAAUAACUGGCUGUGAGUCAGAGUACCAAGGAAAAAGAAGACACAUGUCAGACUGCUGCCCUCAUGCGAUGGACAGUGAUGAAGAGUGAUGGGAACUUGAGAAUUACUCAAUGACACAAAAAAGCCAUCCAUCUGGGAGUGGAACAGACAUCACUGUCUCUGAGAUGAGUGUUUUGGUGAGGGUUCUUCUCAAGGCCCACCUGGCUCCAGAUAGAGACGCCCUGUUAGCUGUGCCUGGAUUUGUGUUUUAAAAAAAAAAUCCUGAAGAGCUGUGGUUACAAGGGAGACAAGGUCCCCCUUUUCGGGGCUGGUCAUUUCUCUGUUCACAAGCAGUGUGUCCUCCGCAGCAGAAGGUUGGAUCCAGGGAGAUGGCUCCAGCUGGUGAGUUUCUUGCCUUCCUCCCAUGUUUCUCUUGCUGUCUGUCUCUUCUCUAGUGUGUUGGCCAACACUCUCUCUUUCUCUCUCUGUCUCUGUUCUUGCCUCUCCUUGUGCCUUUUCCCUUCAUAGGACACAGGCAGCUGUGCUAGGUGUGCAUCCCCACAGGCUAGGUCUCGAGAGCUAUGAACAAGUAGGAGGGGAUGAAAAUCAUGCAGGAUAGUGGGUGCGAGAGUGGAGGCAGGUACUGGAAGAUGUUGUGCACCUAGACUGUUUUUGGCAGUGAUGGCUCUUCCAUAGGUCAUUAGCUGUUCUUGCGGAGGGCUGCUCCAGGCCAGCGGAGCAGCCCCAGACAGAGUAGGAGCAUCUGGAGGAAGCAGACGUACCCAAUCUAGUUGUUUUGCUUUGCAGUGGAGCCAAGGAGCGAUCUUGUAAUGUUGGAGGAGCAGUUCCUACUGAGAUUGGUCUCUGCCACAGGUUGGCCAGUCUCCCAUCAGACCAAAGAAGUAGUGGCCACCCUGAGCCCAUCCCUAGUGACGAAAGCCGGACAGUAAUCUGCAGAAGGGAUCAUCCAGGAGCCGCAGCUAGAGGAGAAACUAGAAGAAAUGAACCUGAGCAGCCUGGACAUCCUUGUAAGCAGAGAUGAACAGUCCUCAGCUUUCUGCCUUCCACAUAACUGGCUGUGAGUUUGGCAUUUCUGACCAGAGUCUGCUAUGCAGAGUGAGUAUUUCAGGUGUCAUUGCAAGGGGCAUUUUCUACUUUUAGUCCUAAAGAUGUAAUGGAAAUAUGGUUGAGGGCGGAGGCCUACCGUGUCGGGGAGGUGAAAAGAAGAGCCUACAAGACAUUGCCUCCUGAGAGGGUAGGGUAUUUUUUUCCCCUUGUGGUGGGUUUAGUUGCAAAGGAAAAGAAGUCACGCGUCAGAGUCCACUGUCCUCAUGCGAUGGAAGGGGAGCAAGAGCGCUGAGACAGCGAGGAUUGUUGAUGCCGCGCAAAAGCCAUCCAUCUGGGAGUGGAACAGCCAUCACUAUCAGUGAGAAGUGUCUGGUUUGGUGGUUUCUCUGCUCACAGCCCGCCUCGCUCCUG